GACGGCAGAACAUCUUGCGUCUGGCGGCGGCGGACGUUUGUCGGGGGUAAUUCAAGACACUAUUUAUUUAUGUUGGGUUCGUGUCCUUGGUUGGUUUGGGACCUGGGUGUGUUUUUGCCGUUUUUGCGGUUUUCUCUUCGGCGAAAAUUCGCCUUACACACACUCAUGCGUUUUGGCAUCUGUCAAAAUCGGCCAUUGUCAAAAUUAUUGCUGCUUGAGAAAAACCGCGUGCACGUCGUGCUCGUUCCGCGUCCGCAUCCGCCCGGGAAUUAUCUUUUUUUUGUGUUGCUUAUUCCGAGUGCCGCUACCGUUACCGUGUCCGUGUUCCGUGUUCGGAGUGUCCGUUUAUGUGUUUCUAGUGAAGUGGUGAAGUGUCUAGGAGUGAACCCCGCGAUUAUUUUGGUGGUCUCGUGCCGGGAGAAAGAUUCUAAAUCCGAUUCCAAGAACAUCUCCUUGGCCCCCUCGAAAAGCUGAACCUGCCGGAAGAGGUGAGGAGGACGGUCCGAACAUCCGGGACGUUGGACGAGUUCAAGAGCAGCUGGAGAGUCCAUCGGAGACGGACGACCACCUCGGGCUGCUGUUGACCUGCCGGAAGAGGCGAGGAGGAGGACGGUCAACACAGCCGGGACCGUGGCCAAGUUCAAGAACCUAUUCCAAGAACAUCUCCAUGGCCCCCUCGAAAAGCUGAACCUACCGGAAGAGGUGAGGAGGACGGUCCGAACAUCCGGGACGUUGGACGAGUUCAAGAACAGCUGUAGAGUCCAUCGGAAACGGACGACCACCUCGGGCUGCUGUUGAACCUGCCGGAAGAGGCGUGGAGGAGGACGGUCGACACAGCCGGGACGUUGGACGAGUUCAAGAAAAGCUGGAGAGUCCAUCGGAGACGGACGACCACCUCGGGCUGCUGUUGAACCUGCCGGAAGAGGCGAGGAGGAGGACGGCCAACACAGCCGGGACCGUGGCCAAGUUCAAGAACCUAUUCUAAAUCCGAUUCCAAGAUCAUCUCCUUGGCCCCCUCGAAAAGCUGAACCUGCCGGAAGAGGUGAGGAGGAGCUACGGUCCGAACAUCCAGGACGUUGGACGAGUUCAAGAAAAGCUGGAGAGUCCAAUGGCGACGGACGACCGCUCGGGCUGCUGCUGAAACUGCCGGAAGGGCGAGAAGGAGGACGGUCCGCACAGCCGGGAUUGACAGACUUGAGACUUUGCCGGAGACGGUUGACCACUUUCGGUUGUGGUUACUGAAUCCGCCGGAAAAGGCAAAGCCAAAGACGGUGCGCUAUUUGAAGUCAGCUGCGUAUUCAUUAACCCUAUUUCUUUACGUGAUAUUUUUACAUUAAUAAACUUUAAUUGUUACGCUGAGAGUA